rnacentral:miRNA from 1 species
UGGCUGGCACCUGGACGU